rnacentral:rRNA from 1 species
CCAGCCACCGCGGUUACACGAUUAACCCUAGCUAAUAAAGACCGGCGUAGAGGGUGUUUAAGAUCUGACAUAAUAAAGCUAAACUCCAUCUAAACUGUAAAACCCUAGCUGAUGUAAAAUAAACUACGAAAGUGGCUUUAAAGCUUCUGAACACACAAUAGCCAGGACCCAAACUGGGAUUAGACACCCUACUAUGCUUGGCCCUAAACCUCAGUAGUUAGAUAACAAAACUACUCGCCAGAAUACUACAAGCUACAGCUUAAAACUCAAAGGACUUGACGGUGCUUUACACCCCCUAGAGGAGCCUGUUCCGUAAUCGAUAAACCCCGAUCCACCCCACCCUCUCUUGCUCAGCCUAUAUACCGCCAUCUUCAGCAAACCCUAAUGAAGGUCACAAAGUGAGCGCAAACGCCGUCACCGCGAAUACGUUAGGUC